rnacentral:rRNA from 1 species
UACAGAGGUCUCAACCGUUGUUCGGAUUCAUUGGGCGUAAAGGGUGCGUAGGCGGUCGCGCAAGUCGGAUGUGAAAUCUUAGGGCUCAACCCUGAAACUGCAUUCGAUACUGCGUGGCUCGAGUACUGGAGAGGAGACUGGAAUUUACGGUGUAGCAGUGAAAUGCGUAGAUAUCGUAAGGAAGACCAGUGGCGAAGGCGGCUGCCUGGCCUGUUCUUGACGCUGAGGCGCGAAAGCUGGGGGAGCAAACGGG